rnacentral:rRNA from 1 species
AUUGAACGCUGGCGGCAGGCUUAACACAUGCAAGUCGAGCGGAGAGAGGUAGCUUGCUACCGAUCUUAGCGGCGGACGGGUGAGUAAUGCUUAGGAAUCUGCCUAUUAGUGGGGGACAACAUUUCGAAAGGAAUGCUAACACCGCAUACGUCCUACGGGAGAAAGCAGGGGAUCUUCGGACCUUGCGCUAAUAGAUGAGCCUAAGUCGGAUUAGCUAGUUGGUGGGGUAAAGGCCUACCAAGGCGACGAUCUGUAGCGGGUCUGAGAGGAUGAUCCGCCACACUGGGACUGAGACACGGCCCAGACUCCUACGGGAGGCAGCAGUGGGGAAUAUUGGACAAUGGGCGCAAGCCUGAUCCAGCCAUGCCGCGUGUGUGGAGAAGGCCUUAUGGUUGUAAAGCACUUUAAGCGAGGAGGAGGCUACUUUAGUUAAUACCUAGAGAUAGUGGACGUUACUCGCAGAAUAAGCACCGGCUAACUCUGUGCCAGCAGCCGCCGCGGUAA